rnacentral:rRNA from 1 species
UGGGGAAUAUUGCACAAUGGAGGGAACUCUGAUGCAGCGACGCCGCGUGAACGAAGAAGGCUUUCGAGUCGUAAAGUUCUUUUAUAUGGGAAGAUAAUGAUGGUACCAUAAGAAAAAGCCCCGGCUAACUACGUGCCAGCAGCCGCGGUAAUACGUAGGGGGCUAGCGUUGUCCGGAAUCACUGGGCGUAAAGGGUUCGCAGGCGGAAAUGCAAGUCAGGUGUAAAAGGCAGUAGCUUAACUACUGUAAGCAUUUGAAACUGCAUAUCUUGAGAAGAGUAGAGGUAAGUGGAAUUUUUAGUGUAGCGGUGAAAUGCGUAGAUAUUAAAAAGAAUACCGGUGGCGAAGGCGACUUACUGGGCUCAUUCUGACGCUGAGGAACUAAAGCGUGGGUAGCAAACAGG